rnacentral:rRNA from 1 species
CCUACGGGAGGCAGCAGUGGGGAAUAUUGCACAAUGGGGGAAACCCUGAUGCAGCGACGUCGCGUGAGUGAAGAAGUAUUUCGGUACGUAAAGCUCCAUCAGUAGGGAAGAAAAUGACGGUACCUGUCUAAGAAUCCCCGGCUAACUACGUGCCAGCAGCCGCGGUAAUACGUAGGGGGCCAGCGUUAUCCGGAUUUACUGGGUGUAAAGGGAGCGUAGACGGCAGCGCAAGUCUGAAGUGAAAUCCCAGGGCUUAACCAUGGAACUGCUUUGGAAACUGUGCAGCUGGAGUGCAGGAGAGGUAAGCGGAAUGCCUAGUGUAGCGGUGAAAUGCGUAGAUAUUAGGAGGAACACCAGUGGCGAAGGCAGCUUACUGGACUGUAACUGACGUUGAGGCUCGAAAGCGUGGGGAGCAAACAGGAUUAGAUACCCUUGUAGUC